UACGGGGGCAGCAGUGGGGAAUAUUGCACAAUGGGCGCAAGCCUGAUGCAGCCAUGCCGCGUGUAUGAAGAAGGCCUUCGGGUUGUAAAGUACUUUCAGUCGUGAGGAAGGUGUUAAGGUUAAUAACCUUAGCAAUUGACGUUAGCGACAGAAGAAGCACCGGCUAACUCCGUGCCAGCAGCCGCGGUAAUACGGAGGGUGCGAGCGUUAAUCGGAAUUACUGGGCGUAAAGGGCACGCAGGCGGUUAAUUAAGUUGGAUGUGAAAUCCCCGGGCUUAACCUGGGAAUGGCAUUCAAGACUGGUUAGCUAGAGUCUUGUAGAGGGGGGUAGAAUUCCAUGUGUAGCGGUGAAAUGCGUAGAGAUGUGGAGGAAUACCGGUGGCGAAGGCGGCCCCUGGACAAAGACUGACGCUCAUGUGCGAAAGCGUGGGGAGCAAACAGGGAUUAGAUACC
rnacentral:rRNA from 1 species